rnacentral:rRNA from 1 species
AAACCCUGAAGCARCAAAUCCGGGUGAGUGAAGAAGGCCCUUGGGUUGUAAAGCUAUGUUCACUGGGGAGAAAUUAAUUAGUAUUAAUAGUAUUUUGUAUUGACGGUACCUUUAGAAGAAGCACCGGCUAAUUUCGUGCCAGCAGCCGCGGUAAUACGGGGGGUGCAAGCGUUGUUCGGAAUUAUUGGGCGUAAAGGGCGCGUAGGCGGUUUUGUCAGUCAGAUGUGAAAGCCCGGGGCUCAACCCUGGAAGUGCAUUUGAAACAGCAAGACUUGAAUACUGGAGGGGAGAGCGGAAUUCCUGGUGUAGAGGUGAAAUUCGUAGAUAUCAGGAGGAACACCGAUGGCGAAGGCRGCUUUCUGGACCGAUAUUGACGCUGAGGCUCGAAAGCGUGGGUAGCAAACRGGAUUAGAUACCCCGGUAGUCCACGCAGUAAACGAUGUUCACUCGCCGUAGCGGAUAUUAAAACCUGCAG